rnacentral:rRNA from 1 species
CACGGGGGGAGCAAGCGUUGUUCGGAAUCACUGGGCGUAAAGCGCACGUAGGCGGACUCUUAAGUCGGUGGUGAAAUCCUGGAGCUCAACUCCAGAACUGCCUUCGAUACUGAGAGUCUCGAGUCCGGGAGAGGUGAGUGGAACUGCGAGUGUAGAGGUGAAAUUCGUAGAUAUCGUAAGGAAGACCAAUGGCGAAGGCGGGUCUCUGGACAGUUCCUGACGCUGAGGCACGAAGGUCAGGGGAGCAAACGGG